rnacentral:rRNA from 1 species
AUGGGAUUUGAGGUAGAGGAUUUCCUGGGAGAGCGAGUAGGAAGGAUGAUGGUGGGGUUCAUGGGGAAGAUGAAGAAGCAGAAGGUGAUCCACGGCCCGCACGCGACGCCGAGCCGCCACGCGCCUCCUCCCCUGCCGCUCCGCCUCCAUGCCGGGACAACGUACUGGGCCUUGCCGGACGCCGAGGACCAACGGUUCAAUGCCGCCGCCCACUCCGGCCUCCACCACACCAGCCCGAACCGCUACUCGCGGGCGCGCGGGGAUGGAGAACCCCGACGGGCACGCGGGGGCGGGUCUGGGCAGCGACCCGUCCGGGCUUCCCCCACCCCCACCGCCGCCCUUGGAUGCCGCGGGGCGGGUCUGGGCAGCGACCCGGCCGAGGUUCUCCCACCGCCACCCCCGCAUCUCCCGGGGGGCGCCCCGUACGACGGGGCGCAGGCAGCCAACGGAUCCGCGUACCCGGCCGAGCACGCCUCGCUGAACGGGACCUCCGGCGAGGCGGCGUGGGCCAUGGAGAACGGCGCCGCCGCCGCCGAGAUGGCCGAGCCCAUGGUCCCCGAGCAGUUGUACGAGGAUGCUGUGGCUUCAGUGGAAUAG